AGAGGCGGGAGGUGUGGAAGCUUGGAUGAAGGUAUGAACUGGAAGAAGUUUGGGCCUUAAGCCCAAACUCUACAAACCAAAAAAAACGGACCCAAGCCAUUCUCAACACCAAAACUCCACGGUCUUCACUGCACACCUGGAUCGCGUUGUUUCGAAGUCGUUUUCGCCAUCAUCACAAUCCGAAUUGGUUCGGAUUCAUCAUCAUCUUCUCCGAAUCACUGCAACCGGAGUCCAAUACGACUCCGAUCCUAGCUAACACUUAUUCCUAAAACGCGACCUGGAUAUCUCCAUCGAAGGCGAAGACAAUCCGGAGGCCAUACACAAUCUCUCAUUCUCAAUCUGAAUCUUUCAACCAUUUCCUGCAGUCGUGUUUGCAUCGUUCCACCCGUUCGUGAAGGAUGUUGUUUGUCGAUUUCGGCACUUCUGAGAUUGGAAGCUUCGCGAGGCUUGGACUCACACAAGAUCGAACGAAAUCGGUAUCCGAUAAAGGCGACCUAGCUUAAUAAAGAAUAUCUGCAGAAGACGUACCAGGAUUCAACGCAGUGAUUCUUCGAAAUAAAUUUCAUAGGUUAGUGAAAAUCUGCAGAAGUUGAAUAAGGGCGAGAGAUGGAGAUUUGCAGGGAGUAUGAACAAGAAUGAAAAAGAAACUGAGUUUUGCAGAAUCAAUGGAUGCUGAAGAUUGCAGGUAGCGUAUGGUUGUUACGGUUGCAGAGUGAAGGGUGCAGAACAGAAUGAAGAGAUAAGAGAAAGAGUGAAGAGAAAGAUUGAAAAAGUGAAGAAAACUCGUGGCUCGAGCCAAUGGUGAGAACUGCCAAUUUAUAGAGUUUCUAUGAAGUGAUUUCGUUAACUCUGUUAAUCUCUUCUCCCACCAAAUUUGUUAACCGUUGAAACUCUGUUAGUUAGUUAGUUUGUUAAAUUGAUUAUUCUGUUAAAAUUCUGUUGACAAUCUCAAAUGGCUUUUGAUUCUCUAUGAUGAAUGCAACUUCUGUUAUCA